rnacentral:rRNA from 1 species
UGGCUCAGAUUGAACGCUGGCGGCAGGCCUAACACAUGCAAGUCGAGCGGAUGACGGGAGCUUGCUCCUUGAUUCAGCGGCGGACGGGUGAGUAAUGCCUAGGAAUCUGCUUGGUAGUGGGGGACAACGUUUCGAAAGGAACGCUAAUACCGCAUACGUCCUACGGGAGAAAGCAGGGGACCUUCGGGCCUUGCGCUAUCAGAUGAGCCUAGGUCGGAUUAGCUAGUAGGUGAGGUAAUGGCUCACCUAGGCGACGAUCCGUAACUGGUCUGAGAGGAUGAUCAGUCACACUGGAACUGAGACACGGUCCAGACUCCUACGGGAGGCAGCAGUGGGGAAUAUUGGACAAUGGGCGAAAGCCUGAUCCAGCCAUGCCGCGUGUGUGAAGAAGGUCUUCGGAUUGUAAAGCCCUUUAAGUUGGGAGGAAGGGCAGUAAGCUAAUACCUUGCUGUUUUGACGUUACCGACAGAAUAAGCACCGGCUAACUCUGUGCCAGCAGCCGCGGUAAUACAGAGGGUGCAAGCGUUAAUCGGAAUUACUGGGCGUAAAGCGCGCGUAGGUGGUUCGUUAAGUUCGAUGUGAAAGCCCCUGGGCUCAACCUGGGAACUGCAUCUGAAAACUGGCGAGCUAGAGUAUGUAGAGAUGGUUUG